AAGGUGGAGGUUCCCUGGCGGGGGCUCUUUCACAAAGCGCUAGGAGCACCUCCCUGGCUGCUCGGAGCAGCUGUUAGCUCAGCUCAAGCCCGGCUGCUUCCCAGGGUGGGGGGGGGGGAGGAGGAAGAAAGAAGAAGAAGAAAGUCUGGAAGAAGGACUCAGAAGCUUUGCGGGCUUUGGAGUCUCUUCCUCUCGCAGCGCAGCGCCGCUGAACUUGGAGAUGGUAGCCGGGAGGUCGUGGUGAGGCGCUCCCUUGGGUGAGGCGCCGGCGGGGUCCCCCAAGGCUCGGGAAGGAUGGCGUGUUGUACGGGGCGCUGCACCCUAAUUUUCCUCUGCACUUUACAGCUG